CCGAGGAGCAGUGCCCCUUCCACCGCCCCCUCAUCGCCCCCCGGAGCCGGGGGUUUGGGGAGGCCGCUACACCGGGCGGGCUGCGGGCGCUGCUUCGAGAGGCCCGUGUCCGGGGCCGCCUGGAGCGGAGCGGAGCAGGGAGAAGCAAUCCUCUCUCUGAAAGUGAAGCAAGCCUUCCGCGAGUGUCCUUUGGAUCCUAGUGUCAGAGGGAGGGGAAGCCCCCCGUGGACACCGAUGGCACCUUACAGAGGCUUUCACGUCUGCCUGCAGGAAAUAAAUUCCACUUCUUUUUUCUGA